CUCACAUUCACACACUGAGGCCCAGAAGCCUCAGGCCACACUCUGCCACUGCUGUCUAGGAUAUUAAGGGGGGUGUGACGGGGUGUGUGUAGAGAUCAGUCCUGAUCCUUGCCGUCCUGGAGCCUGGAGCCUGGUGGCAGAGAGAAAACGUGACUCUCUGUUUCAGUCACUCUGUGAUUGGUGCUCUGAAGGAAAGAAGUCAAACAGGAGCUUGUUGAGGUGACCGGGAUGGCCCAGAGGAUGAGAAGAAGCCAGCCGUGUGCACAGUGGUGGGGAGACUGAGCUGGGCAGCGUUCCUGGGGCAGGAGCCCAAUGGCCAGAGCGGCUGAUGCGCAGUGAGGGGGGAGGGACGGCGCAACGAUCAAGGAGGGAGAGGCCCACCUGCAGCGCCACCCCCCUGGCCCCCUGGCUCGCCCAGUGCCUUCUCUGUUGGCACGGCCCUGCCACCCCCGAGAUUUAUCGGGUAUCCUUCUCCAGCUUGAGAGCACAAGAUCUGGGUCCGAGUCAUUUCCAGGUCCCCAACCAGGAAGACGGGGUCCGGCCUUGAAUCAGACCACAACUGACCAAUGAACAGAGUUGGGCUGCGUGGAGACACCUGCUCGCAGGAGACUGGUGGAGAAACGUCCCUGCCACCAGCAUCCAGCCUUCCAGGUGUGCGGGGAAGUGUGUAAUUGACGGGCAGCCCGACCGAGGCCCUCCUGCGGGACCAAAUUGUAAUGGGCUGCGGCGCUUGGUCACAACAGGGAUUCCUUUUAUAUCUUAGUGCGGCCGCGAACCUGGCAAGCAGGUCCCCGCGGUUAUUAAGAAGCCUCCUGACUUCAGCAAGUCGCCUUGGGUCAGUGCAGCGGCAUAUUCUGGCUGCUGGGCUCGGAGUUGGCAAAGACAACCUUGUAGACACAAAUCCCUUUACACUUGGACAUGGAGAAAAGAAUCAAGAUGGAUGGCCCCAGCCCCCCCAGCCUGCUGCACACCUGCCUGCCCCCGCUCCCACUGCCUCGCCUCCUCCCUCCUGGCUGGUUCCUUGACAAGUUCAUUGCUGUGUUCACCGGAAAGCGAUCAGCAGAGUCUUGCUUCUGGAGAAGUUAAAUGCAGGCCGACAAUUCCUCAGGGGUUCACGGGAUGAAAGGCUGCAAAAGAGGGUUUGGAAGCACUUCACAGAGGGACCCACGUCUACACAUACGUCAAGAGAACUGUUGUUUGGGGAAAACAAGUUGUAUUGGAGGCUUUGGGAAUUGCAGAGAGGUUUCGCAAGAACUCAGAGGAGCAAAUAAGAAAUAAAAGACGCAGCCAACGUUUA